AUAGCCACAGCUUUCAUCUAAGCGAGAACGACUGCGUUGCACUGUGUUAAGCUCGAGAUGCUUGUAUUCGUUGAAUAUGAAGUGGACAUGACCACUGCGGUUGUCAGGCACACCGCAGUGCAAAACUUUAACCCAGAGAAUGUCGUGGAUUUCGAUCCAAUUGUCCUCUACGACGUGUGGUGGAACGGCGAUGCGACAGAGUGCUGAACAUGGCUGAAACUGAAGAAAUGGUUCUGCACACGUCGAAAAGGCUCAGAAAGCUGUCCUUAGAAAAGGGCAAGAAGAGCACCAAAGGAAUUAUAACUGCCAUGGCCUCUAUGGCACCUUUGUCACAGGAGCAUGGUAAGAGUACAUUUUUUGUACAGCACUGUUCAGUUUCAACCACCAAUUUUUUCUAGUUGUGCAGUACUUCACACUCACUGAUAUUCGUCCAUGCUCAGCAGUGCUUACUCACUGCCACUACCUUACAAAUGGACCUUUUUCCAGUAAGCGACCCGUCUAGCGGCCGCCACUUCAACUAAAUUUGACGGGCAAGACACACACGCUCCCACCGCUUCUCGCCUCUACGCAAAGCAUGGU